CAUCGCGAGGUGGAAUUUGAAGGAAGCUGGCGGCAAACAUCUGACCUGACGUACAGGAACUUGAUACAAGGCUGGUAGGUAUGAGAUUAUAAAACAAAUCAAAGUCCGAUAGUUAUCCGGGAAUGGUAU
rnacentral:ncRNA from 1 species